ACGAGAAAGGGGCUUCGGCCCUGAGUAAAGUGGCGGACGGGUGAGUAACACGUGGGUAAUCUGCCUUUCAGUGGGGGAUAACUGUCCGAAAGGAUAGCUAAUACCGCGUACGUCGGCGAGGUCUGCGGACCUUGCCGGGAAAGCCGGCCUCUCCAUGGAAGCUGGCGCUGAAAGAGGAACCCGCGGCCCAUCAGCUAGUUGGUAGGGUAACGGCCUACCAAGGCUAAGACGGGUAGCUGGUCUGAGAGGAUGAUCAGCCACACUGGGACUGAGACACGGCCCAGACUCCUACGGGAGGCAGCAGUGGGGAAUAUUGGGCAAUGGGCGCAAGCCUGACCCAGCCACGCCGCGUGAGUGAUGAAGGCCUUCGGGUCGUAAAGCUCUGUGGGGAGGGACGAAAAAACGGGGGCGAAUACCCCCUGGACUGACGGUACCUCCUUAGCAAGCACCGGCUAACUCCGUGCCAGCAGCCGCGGUAA
rnacentral:rRNA from 1 species